CCCCCCCCCACAGCUCAGAGAGCGACUGUGUGGAGCCUGAGGAAGCUUGAACCAACUGCCCAUCCCCAGGUGAACCCCAUCAGCCAGCACCAUGUCUGACGCAGAAGAGGUGGAGUAUGAGGAGGAGCAGCAUGAAGAAGAGGAACAGGCUGAGCAGGCCGAGGAAGAGGAAGGUGAGACGGCUGCACACAGCUGCCCUUCCCUGUGCUGUGGGGACCCCCC